GUUAGUUGCACACGUGUGAGGUGACUGAGGCCAGCUCCAAGUCCAGCCACAGGGGCUGCGUGGCCCCAGCACAGUCCCAGGUCCCAGGCCACAGCUGAAAGUGGGAUGUUGUAGUGAACCUUGGCCUCAUAAUGACCCUUGGCCUGUGACAGGACCCAGACAUUCUGGACGAUCAACUCUGAACUGCAAGUUCCUCCCACUCAGGUGUUGCGGGUACCCACAAAAUGAGCUGGACCGCCAAAGGCUGAUGUGUUAGGGCUGGCCUGAUGCUGGUGUCUGUGCCGGAGCCAGCUCAUAUCACCCACUGGGCCGCACCUGGGCCUGCUCUCUGGAUUUUCCAGGGCUGUCUUUAUAGCCUGUCGAAAUAAGGAGCCAGAGGAGUUACCUGUGUCCUGCAUUAUGAUUAAAGCCUUUUAAAGUUG
rnacentral:lncRNA from 1 species